GCGCAGUUGGGCGACGACGAGCUGCGGCUGCGCGCGCUGCGGCUGAAGGUCGGGAUGAUUUUUCAGCAGUUCAACCUGUUUCCGCACC
rnacentral:tRNA from 1 species